rfam:Flavobacteriaceae bacterium TMED206 43128, whole genome shotgun sequence.
GCGAAAGUAGCUCAGUGGUAGAGCGUCACCUUGCCAAGGUGAGGGUCGCGGGUUCAAAUCCCGUCUUUCGCU